UUAUAUUUAGUACGUGACCCUCGAAGCUUAAGUUCGGGGUGUCACAGCGUGGUAUCAGAGCAGUUAUACUUUUCUGUAGACUUUUUAAAAGAAAUUUACUGUCCUUCAUCAUCGAGCAAGUUAGCAACUGACUUCCAACCAACGAUCAAGGUAAAAAAAUUUUAUGCAACGAACUGCUAUAUUUAUGGCUGGAUAUAGGAAUACUUUGAAUCAAGUCAUGGUUGAGAUUAUGAAGUCAUAAACACUUAUAUCUAAAUAUUUAUUAGAGCCUUGUAGAGUAACAUAAUCAAUUUUUGUCCUAGUU
rnacentral:lncRNA from 1 species